AUAUGAAUCACCUGGGAAUCUUGUUAAAUUACAGAUUAUGAUGCAGUAGGUCUGGGGAAGGGCCUGAGAUCCUGCCGUUCUGACAGGCUCCCAGAGGAUAUCUGU
rnacentral:miRNA from 1 species